GGUUAGAAAUGAACUAGAUGGCAAAGUGGUAAAUACCACUUAGUUGGAGGAUAAAAGAGACCAUAAACAUCACUUGCAUGUGAACAUAAGGCCAUGUUUGGUGGAAGACUUACAAAAAUCAGAAUUUAUGAGAAAAGAGCUUAAGAGCAUGGAGGAGAAAGAAGAGCUUAUGUUCAUCCUUUGCAUUUUCGCAACCCAUGGACAGCCUCCACUAAAAGUGCCAUAACUCUCUGCUCACAGCUCCGAUUGAGGUUUGAAGUGGAGUGAUCCAUGCUGAGUUUGUGUGUGAAUGCAGCUGCGAAUUUGAUGAUGAAGAAGGUGAACCUUUGGGCAAGAGUGGAGUUCAAAGGCUGCAUUAACACCAUCUAAACCUCUAUUAAUCCAAGGUGCAGUUAGUAGCGUUUGGUCAGUAACAGGUUUGGACUGGAGACUUGGAAGUGGUGUUGGCUCGAAGACCUCGUUGGUUUUGACAUUCCGCUGUGCAAGAUCCAUUGAAGACACAUGUUUUGUAAUUAUUAUUAUUAUUUCAUGUUGUAAUCUAAAUGGAUCAUCUUGUAUCCAUAGCUUUUGUAUGUACUCAAUAUCAAUUUUAACGUUUCAUGCAUGAUAUACUAGUCAGUUAUGUAUGGGGUGUUACAGUUGGUAUCAGAGCAGGUCGAUUCUCGGCCGAGCCAUGAGACAUCACUAGCGAUUCCUUUUCCUCCUCUCAAGUGUGUGUUGCCAGCCUGAUUUUACUGACAUCUCAUUCAGUUGUUGAACUUGAUCAACUCAUUGACUGAGUGUGAGACAGUAGGAUUACGGCAGAGCCGCCACGAGGACUCGAUACCUGUAAGAUUGUGAACCCAAGUAGCAAGGAUCGGUUGGGUGGUGAAUUGUAUAUGGAAGUUGGAUUUAUUAAACGAUGUAAGUAGAAGGGAUAUUGGAGUUGUCAGAAGUAAGAGGAGCGUUUUACGCAAAGGAGUAAUACCCGAACUACCAAGGUGUUGAGCUGUGAAUUAGUAGGAUUUAGUAAUGAUGAUGCUUCCGGUGUUAAGUGCGACUGAUGAGCUGAUAGGACAGAAUGGCCUCUGGAAAUGCGGACAGAAGAGUUAGACCUUUCUAAUUGCGCUGGUACGGACAAUAAUUGGAUGGAUGAAGUAUUAGAUCUUGAUUUAACUCGAAGUACCCUAAGCGAGAGUAGUUACCUAGUAGAUGUUGGUGGAAUGUACGAGUGUGGUAGCUUAAGAUUGGCGAAGCUUGAUUACCUUGUCGGUGGAAGAGGGCAUGUAUUUCUAUUCUUAUCAUUUUUAUUUAAGUUCUAGAACUACGCUAGAUGGAAUAUGAAAUGAUGUAGAAGCGUGAAAUGCAGUGACCUAAGUUCUUGUUAGUUGUUGUUCGUCUGACCCCGAGUGAAGCCAUAGAACUACGCUUGGCGUUGAGUGUUCAGGCGAGU